rnacentral:rRNA from 1 species
ACGGAAGGCAGCAGUGGGGAAUAUUGGGUAAUGGGCGAAAGCCUGACCCAGCAACGCCGCGUGAAGGAAGAAGGCCUUCGGGUUGUAAACUUCUUUUACCAGGGACGAAGGACGUGACGGUACCUGGAGAAAAAGCCACGGCUAACUACGUGCCAGCAGCCGCGGUAAUACGUAGGUGGCAAGCGUUGUCCGGAUUUAUUGGGUGUAAAGGGCGUGUAGGCGGAACUGUAAGUCAGAUGUGAAAUCCCGGGGCUCAACCCCGGAACUGCAUUUGAAACUGCAGUCCUUGAGUAUCGGAGAGGCAAGCGGAAUUCCUAGUGUAGCGGUGAAAUGCGCAGAUAUUAGGAGGAGCACCAGUGGCGAAGGCGGCUUGCUGGACGACAACUGACGCUGAGGCGCGAAAGCGUGGGGAGCAAACAGGAUUAGAUACCCUGGUA